UACGGAGGGUGCAAGCGUUGCUCGGAAUUAUUGGGCGUAAAGGGUAGGUAGGUGGUCUCAUUUGUCUGGGGUGAAAGCCUUGAGCUUAACUCAAGAAGUGCCCCAGAAACGGUGAGACUCGAGUCCUGGAGAGGGUCGUGGAAUUCCCGGUGUAGCGGUGAAAUGCGUAGAGAUCGGGAGGAACACCAGAGGCGAAGGCGGCGACCUGGACAGGCACUGACACUCAACUACGAAAGCGUGGGGAGCAAACAGG
rnacentral:rRNA from 1 species